UACGAAGGGUGCAAACGUUGCUCGGAAUUAUUGGGCGUAAAGCGCACGUAGGCGGCUUUUCAAGUCCCAUGUGAAAUCCCACGGCUUAACCGUGGAAGUGCAUGGGAAACUGGAAAGCUUGAGUACUUAAGAGGAUCGCGGAAUUCCCGGUGUAGAGGUGAAAUUCGUAGAUAUCGGGAGGAACACCAGUGGCGAAGGCGGCCGGCUGGGGGUGACCUGACGCUGAGGCGCGAAAGCGUGGGGAGCGAACCGG
rnacentral:rRNA from 1 species